AGAGCGAACGCUGGCGGCAGGCUUAACACAUGCAAGUCGAGCGGGCGUAGCAAUACGUCAGCGGCAGACGGGUGAGUAACGCGUGGGAACAUACCUUUUGGUUCGGAACAACACAGGGAAACUUGUGCUAAUACCGGAUAAGCCCUUACGGGGAAAGAUUUAUCGCCGAAAGAUUGGCCCGCGUCUGAUUAGCUAGUUGGUGAGGUAACGGCUCACCAAGGCGACGAUCAGUAGCUGGUCUGAGAGGAUGAUCAGCCACAUUGGGACUGAGACACGGCCCAAACUCCUACGGGAGGCAGCAGUGGGGAAUAUUGGACAAUGGGCGCAAGCCUGAUCCAGCCAUGCCGCGUGAGUGAUGAAGGCCCUAGGGUUGUAAAGCUCUUUUGUGCGGGAAGAUAAUGACAGUACCGCAAGAAUAAGCCCCGGCUAACUUCGUGCCAGCAGCCGC
rnacentral:rRNA from 1 species